UUUCCGUAGGUGAACCUGCGGAAGGAUCAUUACAGUAGUCACCCAGGUUGCCGCAAGGCCUCCUGGGUAACCUACCACCCUUUGUUUAUUACACUUUGUUGCUUUGGCAAGCCUGCCCUCGGGCUGCUGGCUCCGGCCGGCGAGCGCUCGCCAGAGGACCUAAACUCUGUUUGUCUAUACUGUCUGAGUACUAUAUAAUAGUUAAAACUUUCAACAACGGAUCUCUUGGUUCUG
rnacentral:misc_RNA from 1 species